UACGUAGGGGACAAGCGUUAUCCGGAUUACUGGGUGUAAAGGGAGCGCAGACGGAACUGCAAGUCUGAUGUGAAAGCCCGGGGCUCAACCGCGGGACUGCAUCGGAUACUGUGGAUCUGGAGUGCCGGAGGGGCAAGCGGAAUUCCUGGUGUAGCGGUGAAAUGCGUAGAUAUCAGGAGGAACACCGGCGGCGAAGGCGGCUCUCUGGACUGUAACUGACACUGAGGCACGAAAGCGUGGGGAGCAAACAGGAUUAGAUA
rnacentral:rRNA from 1 species